CAAGUCACAACCAAAA
rnacentral:sRNA from 1 species